rnacentral:rRNA from 1 species
AUUGAACGCUGGCGGCAGGCCUAACACAUGCAAGUCGAGCGAGCGGCGGACGGGUGAGUCUUGCCUGCACCUUGCCCCGUCGCGGGGGAUAACAGAUGGAACCUACUGCUAAUUCCUCAUACGCCUUGCUUGCCCAGGUGGGAUUAGCUAGUUGGUGCGGUAAUGGCUCACCAAGGCGACGACCCCUAGCUGGUCGGAGAGGAUGAUCAGCCACACUGGAACUGAGACACGGUCCAGACUCCUACGGGAGGCAGCAGUGGGGAAUAUUGCACAAUGGGGGAAAGCCUGAUGCAGCCAUGCCGCGUGUGUGAAGAAGGCCUUCGGGUUGUAAAGCACUUUCAGCGGGGAGGCGUUACUCGCAGAAGAAGCACCGGCUAACUCCGUGCCAGCAGCCGCGGUAAUAC